GUACUUUUUCUGUGCACCAUUUUGGUUACAAUUUCAUUUUCAAAUUGUAGUACAAAAUAUUUUUGUGUAAAAAGGAGAAAAAAAAGUGGCUAUCACAAAAUGUUGUAGUCUUCGCUUUAGUGGCUUGGUCGUACCAAGGGUUUCUUGGGGGAGGUUUCUGGUACCCAAGUACGGGUUUCGGCGAAUUUUUCAUGCAGUGGGCAACUGUUUGCCAUUGCGCCAUUAUAUCAUUGGGACAUAGAAUACUUUCUAUAUGUCAUCUGUUGCUUUUGCGGUUUCUCGACGGGAUUAGACAGAUGUGAAUCUUUGCUAAGUUAAGGUAAUAUCCGAAUCUAAAUUCGCUCCUCGGAUUGGUCGAAACUUACCCCCUUUCUACUCAAAGCCAUUCAACGUAUAGUGCACGAGGUUGUGCAUAGAAUAGAAGAAUAUUUCGGUGCUUAGAUGUACAUGUUAAACAAGAUACAUUUAUUCAUUUACAUUACAUUUAAAUAAAUUUAUCUUCAUGUUA
rnacentral:sRNA from 1 species